UAAUCUAAAAUUAAUAGAAUAAUUUUUAAAAAAAAAGAUUAAAUAAAAAAAUAAAGUUAAAAUAAAAAAAAAUAUAUAUAUUUAAUUAAAAAAAAUUAAAAUAAAAUAAAAAAAAGUAUAAUUAAAUUUUUGUACCUUUUGUAUCAGGGUUAAUUAAAAAAAAAAUAUAAUUUAAUUUCUCGAAAAGUAAAGAAAUAAGUAAUAAUUUGUUAUUGUAAAAAAAAUAUAUAAAAUUAUUAAACUUAGAUUUUAAAAAAAAUCAAUUUUAUAAUAUCUAGUUAUUAAAGAAGUUAAUUUAAUUAAAACUUAAUAUAAAAAACUAAAUUAUUUAUUAAUAAUACUUAAGUAAAAAACUUAAAAGACAAGUUUUAAGUUUAUAAUAAAUUUUAAAUAAAACUAAAAAACAAUAGUAUUAAAAAUUUAUAAUAAAAUUUGUCAUAAUUUAAUCAACACAAUAAACAUUUAAAUUAAAUUUAAUUACAUUUCCCAACUAUUUAAUUAAUUAGCAAAACUAAAAAACUAAGAGAAAAAUGAUUAAAUUAAUAUAUUUUAAAAUUUAAUUAAAAGAACUAGGCAAAAAAAAUGUUCAACUGUUUAUCAAAAACAUUGUUUAAUGAAUAAAUAUUAAAUAAUUUCUGCUCAAUGAAAAAUUAAAUAGCCGCAGUAUAAUGACUGUGCUAAGGUAGCAUAAUAAUUAGUUUUUUAAUUGAAAACUUGAAUGAAUGAAAAAAUGAAAAAUUAACUAUUUAAAAAUUAAAAAAUAAAAAUUAAUAUUUAAAUAAAAAAGUUUAAAUAAAAUAAAAAGACAAAAAGACCCUUUAGAAUUUUAUAGAAUAAAAUUUUAUAAAAAGUAAAUCUAUUAAGUUGGGGAGACUUUAAAAAAAAAAAAACUUUUAAUUUUAAUAAACAAAUAAAAAGAAUUAAAACUAACCACAAAAGUGAAAGGAAUAAAUUACCUAAGGGAUAACAGCGCAAAGUUUUUUAAAGAUCUCAUUAACAAAAUAAAUUGCGACCUCGAUGUUGGAUUAAGAAAUAUUAUAAAGAAGAAUUUAUAAAAUACAGUCUGUUCGACUUAUAAAAUCUUACAUGAUCUGAGUUCAGACCGGCGUAAGCCAGGUCAGUUUAUAUCUUUUAUAAAAAUUAAUUUUUUAUAGUACGAAAGGAUUUAAAAAAAUAAAUACUUU
rnacentral:rRNA from 1 species